UACGUAGGGUGCAAGCGUUAUCCGGAAUUAUUGGGCGUAAAGAGCUCGUAGGCGGUUUGUCGCGUCUGCUGUGAAAACUGGAGGCUCAACCUCCAGCCUGCAGUGGGUACGGGCAAACUAGAGUGCGGUAGGGGAGAUUGGAAUUCCUGGUGUAGCGGUGGAAUGCGCAGAUAGUCAGGAGGAACACCGAUGGCGAAGGCAGAUCUCUGGGCCGUAACUGACGCUGAGGAGCGAAAGCAUGGGGAGCGAACAGG
rnacentral:rRNA from 1 species